CAGGAUGAUGUCUGCAGCACACAGCUUAAGAACUAGAGCAGUCCUCCACCAUUGGUGAGAAAGAAAGAAAGAAAGAAAGAAAGAAAGAAAGAAAGAAAGAAAGAAAGAAAGAAAGAAAGAGAAAUGAAAGGAAAAAAUCCAAAACAAAAUGAAUGAGCAGCUGCAGAAGGCAGCGGGCUCUCUAGCCUCCUAUCUUCCUUGUGCAACCUAUGCAUCUUCUAGAAGUACACAGAGGACCAAAGCUGUGUCCCCAGUUUGUGUUCCCAAGCUUGUCUGUCCUCAGGAGAGAGCAUUCUGCCAUUAAUGUUUUACUUGUUCAAGCCACUAGAAGACAAUACACGCACAACCACCAACUCUGUCGCAAAUAGCUGCCGAUGGUCAUCAGGACAGUGGCCAGGUUUAUGACACACAUCAAGACAGUAGAUAUGCCUCCAGGCCCUGCACAUGCAUGUACUGAGCAUCUCUCUGUGUGUACCUCUUCUGCCCUUGUGUCCACCUGUCAUCUGACUGUAGACAAUGACAGUGUCAUGCCACCUGGUGACGCUACUUUGGAGGCCUAA
rnacentral:lncRNA from 1 species